rnacentral:rRNA from 1 species
CCUACGGGAGGCAGCAGUAGGGAAUCUUCCACAAUGGGCGAAAGCCUGAUGGAGCAACGCCGCGUGGGUGAAGAAGGUCUUCGGAUCGUAAAACCCUGUUGUUAGAGAAGAAAGUGCGUGAGAGUAACUGUUCACGUGUCGACGGUAUCGAACCAGAAAGCCACGGCUAACUACGUGCCAGCAGCCGCGGUAAGACGUAGGUGGCAAGCGUUAGCCGGAUUUAUUGGGCGUAAAGGGAACGCAGGCGGUCUUUUAAGUCGGAGGUGAAAGCCUUCGGCUUAACCGGAGUAGUGCAUGGGAAACUGGGAGACUUGAUUGCAGAAGAGGAGAGUGGCACUCCAUUUGUAGCGGUGACUUGCGUCGAUAUCUGGCAGAACCCCAGUGGCGAACGCGGCUCUCUGGUCUGUACCUGACGCUGAGGUUCGACAGCGUGGGUAGCAAACAGGAUUAGAUACCCCAGUAGUC